rnacentral:rRNA from 1 species
GUUUUAUAUUAUUAUUAUGACUAAUUUUUUUUGCCCCAUGCAGUCGAACGGAGCACGGGUGCUUGCACCUGGUGGCGAGUGGCGAACGGGUGAGUAAUACAUCGGAACAUGUCCUGUAGUGGGGGAUAGCCCGGCGAAAGCCGGAUUAAUACCGCAUACGAUCCACGGAUGAAAGCGGGGGACCUUCGGGCCUCGCGCUAUAGGGUUGGCCGAUGGCUGAUUAGCUAGUUGGUGGGGUAAAGGCCUACCAAGGCGACGAUCAGUAGCUGGUCUGAGAGGACGACCAGCCACACUGGGACUGAGACCGGCCCAGACUCCUACGGGAGGCAGCCGUGGGGAAUUUUGGACAAUGGGCGAAAGCCUGAUCCAGCAAUGCCGCGUGUGUGAAGAAGGCCUUCGGGUUGUAAAGCACUUUUGUCCGGAAAGAAAUCCUUGGCUCUAAUACAGUCGGGGGAUGACGGUACCGGAAGAAUAAGCACCGGCUAACUACGUGCCAGCAGCCGCGGUAAUACGUAGGGUGCAAGCGUUAAUCGGAAUUACUGGGCGUAAAGCGUGCGCAGGCGGUUUGCUAAGACCGAUGUGAAAUCCCCGGGCUCAACCUGGGAACUGCAUUGGUGACUGGCAGGCUAGAGUAUGGCAGAGGGGGGUAGAAUUCCACGUGUAGCAGUGAAAUGCGUAGAGAUGUGGAGGAAUACCGAUGGCGAAGGCAGCCCCCUGGGCCAAUACUGACGCUCAUGCACGAAAGCGUGGGGAGCAAACAGGAUUAGAUACCCUGGUAGUCCACGCCCUAAACGAUGUCAACUAGUUGUUGGGGAUUCAUUUCCUUAGUAACGUAGCUAACGCGUGAAGUUGACCGCCUGGGGAGUUACGGUCGCAAGAUUAAAACUCAAAGGAAUUGACGGGGACCCGCACAAGCGGUGGAUGAUGUGGAUUAAUUCGAUGCAACGCGAAAAACCUUACCUACCCUUGACAUGGUCGGAAUCCUGCUGAGAGGUGGGAGUGCUCGAAAGAGAACCGGCGCACAGGUGCUGCAUGGCUGUCGUCAGCUCGUGUCGUGAAGAUGUUGGGUUAAGUCCCGCAACGAGCGCAACCCUUGUCCUUAGUUGCUACGCAAGAGCACUCUAAGGAGACUGCCGGUGACAAACCGGAGGAAGGUGGGGAUGACGUCAAGUCCUCAUGGCCCUUAUGGGUAGGGCUUCACACGUCAUACAAUGGUCCGGAACAGAGGGUUGCCAACCCGCGAGGGGGAGCUAAUCCCAGAAAACCGAUCGUAGUCCGGAUUGCACUCUGCAACUCGAGUGCAUGAAGCUGGAAUCGCUAGUAAUCGCGGAUCAGCAUGCCGCGGUGAAUACGUUCCCGGGUCUUGUACACACCGCCCGUCACACCAUGGGAGUGGGUUUUACCAGAAGUGGCUAGUCUAACCGCAAGGAGGACGGUC